rnacentral:rRNA from 1 species
GACGAACGCUGGCGGCGUGCUUAACACAUGCAAGUCGAGCGGUAAGGCCCUUUCGGGGGUACACGAGCGGCGAACGGGUGAGUAACACGUGGGUGACCUGCCCUUAGCUCUGGGAUAAGCCUGGGAAACUGGGUCUAAUACCGGAUAUGACUCCAUGACGCAUGUUGUGGGGUGGAAAGCCUUGUGCGGCUAGGGAUGGGCCCGCGGCCUAUCAGCUUGUUGGUGGGGUGAUGGCCUACCAAGGCGACGACGGGUAGCCGGCCUGAGAGGGCGACCGGCCACACUGGGACUGAGACACGGCCCAGACUCCUACGGGAGGCAGCAGUGGGGAAUCUUGCGCAAUGGGCGAAAGCCUGACGCAGCGACGCCGCGUGAGGGAUGACGGCCUUCGG